CGUCAUUACACCGAAACACAUUAGGAAAGAAUGGAGGACUUGAGGACUCUUCAUUGGACUGAUGCUCACCUGCGUACACGAGAGAAUUAAUUAAUGUGGUAAUGAAUGAAUGAAUGAAUGAAUUAAGCAAGCUGAUCACCGACCAACCAAUGACGUAAAGCAAGAUCUUGAUUAGUCCGCUGAUCCAAUGGUGAAAUUUGAAGAUCCAAAUGGCAAAUAUGACUCCGAAGCAAGCGCCAAUGUUUAGAAUGUUACCUAUAAGUCCAAGCUCCGUAAUAGUAGCGAUAAAUCUGAUCCUCAUACCCUCUGUGACGCUGGAACACCAGCCAAGUGACACACCGAGGGUAAAACCACCGAGUGAAACUGAAAUUUCAGGAAUAUAUUAUUAUCAGGUUAAA